rnacentral:rRNA from 1 species
CGACGCCGCGUGGGGGAUGACGGCCUUCGGGUUGUAAACUCCUUUCGCUAGGGACGAAGCUUUUUGUGACGGUACCUAGAUAAGAAGCACCGGCUAACUACGUGCCAGCAGCCGCGGUAAUACGUAGGGUGCGAGCGUUGUCCGGAAUUACUGGGCGUAAAGGGCUCGUAGGUGGUUUGUCGCGUCGUCUGUGAAAUUCCGGGGCUUAACUCCGGGCGUGCAGGCGAUACGGGCAUAACUUGAGUACUGUAGGGGUAACUGGAAUUCCUGGUGUAGCGGUGAAAUGCGCAGAUAUCAGGAGGAACACCGAUGGCGAAGGCAGGUUACUGGGCAGUUACUGACGCUGAGGAGCGAAAGCAUGGGUAGCGAACAGGAUUAGAUACCCUGGUAGUCCAUGCCGUAAACGGUGAGCGCUAGGUGUGAGGGUCUUUUCACGACUUUCGUGCCGUAGCUAACGCAUUAAGCGCCCCGCCUGGGGAGUACGGCCGCAAGGCUAAAACUCAAAGGAAUUGACGGGGGCCCGCACAAGCGGCGGAGCAUGUGGAUUAAUUCGAUGCAACGCGAAGAACCUUACCUGGGCUUGACAUACACUGGAUCGGG